CAGAGGGUGCGAGCGUUAAUCGGAAUUACUGGGCGUAAAGCGCACGUAGGUGGCUUAGUAAGUCGGAUGUGAAAUCCCCAGGCUUAACCUGGGAACUGCAUUCGAAACUGCUUUGCUAGAGUAUGGGAGAGGGCAGUGGAAUUUCAGGUGUAGCGGUGAAAUGCGUAGAUAUCUGAAGGAACAUCAGUGGCGAAAGCGACUGCCUGGACCAAUACUGACGCUCAUGUGCGAAAGCGUGGGGAGCAAACAGGAUUAGAUACCCUGGUAGUCCACGCCAUAAACGAUGGCAACUGGAUGUCGGGAGGGUUAGCCUCUCGGUGUCGUAGCUAACGCGUUAAGUUGUCCGCCUGGGGAGUACGGCCGCAAGGUUG
rnacentral:rRNA from 1 species